rnacentral:lncRNA from 1 species
CUACAUCUUCAUUUUUUUCUUCAUAGGGAUAUAUACCUAUCUAAAUCAAUAAUUAUAAGUUUUAGAGUGGUAUAUCAGGAAGUAUUUGACUGUAGGAGCCAGAAUACCCAAUUAAUCACUGAGGGCUUUAUCAAGUCAUGUAUCAAGAAGUUCACAUGCAGGAAUUUUCAGUGUUGGUCUGGUUCUGUGUACUGUCCAUGAUUUUAUUUUGUCAUUCUUAGCGUGUUGAUGAUUGCUUCCCUCAUGGCCUCAGAAUGUCUACAGCUCUUCUAAAUGUGCUUAUCCAAAGAUGGAAAAGUAUAGUUUCUCCUUCAGCAUUUUUAAAAAAAUUUUAAUAUUUAUUUUUUAGUUUUCAGCAGACACAACAUCUUUGUUUGUAUGUGGUGUUGAGGAUCGAACCCGGGCCGCACGCAUGCCAGGCGAGCGCGCUACCUCUUGAGCCACAUCCCCAGCCCUCUCCUUCAGUAUUUUUAUAUAGAAGAAUAAUUUUUCCCAAAUGCUUCCUAGCAGACUUCCCCCUCAGGAUUUGAUCAUUUACACUGGUAAGAGAAAUAGAAUGAUUAUAGUUGAUAUGGACCAGUUAGGAAUAGGAAGCUUAGCAUAGAGUUAUCACUUGACUUCAGUUGAGGUCCAAUUCAGUAAAAUAUGUAGAAGUAGAAUAGUGAAUAAGCUGAGUAUCUUUGUCCUCUCCCCGAAAAGUUAAUAUCCU